rnacentral:tRNA from 1 species
CCUCGCUUAGCUCAGUCGGUAGAGAAUCCGCCUGCAAUGCAGGAGACCUGGGUUCAAUCCCUGGGUCAGGA